rnacentral:tRNA from 1 species
UAGCUCAGUUGGUAGUGCAUGGCACUUGGAAUGCCAAGGUAGUGGGUUCAAUUUCCAU